rnacentral:lncRNA from 1 species
GUCCGUGUAUAGGAUAUUGCCAUUCCUUUCACUGCUGUUGUUGGGACAGUGGGAAGAACAUUUUAGACUGAGAGGAGAUUCAAGUAGGGUCUCAUCUUGACUCUGCCACUAACUUGCUGUUGGCCUUGAGCAAGUCACUUUCUCUUUCCAAGUCUCAAUGUUACCAGAUCUGCAAAGCCCAAGGGCCAUAUCCACUCAAGGACUUCACUCCUGUACUUCUUGGAAGAAGAAUGUUCUAUCAGGCCCUUCCAGCUCUCCUCCCUGUGCCUCCUCCCCAAUCCCCAGUCUCUGAAGCAGUCUGAAGAUGCCAGCCACCUCCUUGAAUCUCAAGAUGGAAAAUCUGGGGCAGCCUGGAGCCCAGUUCAGAUGACCACCUUCUCCCAGGUCAAAGAAGAGCAGUGGGACUUGUUCCCAAGACAACCUGGGCCCACACCGUCAGACCCAAGAAGAAGAACAAAGCUCAGGGGCUUUGCAGGACCUUUCUUCUAACAAGUUCAAGGUAAUUUCUUGAAUGUUGGGCUCAUUUUUCUGAAGGUCAUUGUGAGAGGUAUGAUUUUUCCCUGCCAGUUCUUAAUACUUUGGUGAGGCAGCAGGAUGGCGGUUUGGAAGUUCUGGCCUGGAGGGUGAAGGCUAAGGUUGUAUUUGCCUGCAGUUUGGCUUCUUAAACCUUCUCAUCUGAUUUCUGACUUCUCAGUCCUGUUUUCA